rnacentral:rRNA from 1 species
CCCUUAGAUGUCCGGGGCCGCACGCGCGCUACACUGAAGGAAUCAGCGUGGCUUUCUCCCUGACCCGAAAGGGUUGGGAAACCCGUUGAAUCUCCGUCGUGAUAGGGAUUGGGGCUUGAAAUUGUUCCCCAUGAACGAGGAAUUCCCAGUAAGCGCGAGUCAUAAGCUCGCGUUGAUUACGUCCCUGCCCUUUGUACACACCGCCCGUCGCUACUACCGAUUGAACGGUUUAGUGAGGGCCUCGGAUUGGUCUCGGCCCGCUCUUUACCGGGCGGCGCCGUUGGUCGAGAAGACGCUCGAACUUGAUCGUUUAGAGGAAGUAAAAGUCGUAACA